rnacentral:sRNA from 1 species
CCAUAGCCCUGAUGGAAGCGGUAUCCUUUUAUUUUUUUUCUUUAGAAAAAUAAAAGAUACAAGUGUACAGCAGGAACAGCU